UGUAAGCGUAUACCAAAGUUGUUGCAGUUAAAACGCUCGUAGUCGGAAUUUGGCAGUUCCGGAUGUGUGCACGUCGUGUGCGCACUUCGCGGGGAUUGCUUUUGUGGUCUUGCGUAGGAUGAGGCACUUUUAUUAGUGAACGUCCUCACGCAACCACUUUUUACUGUGAGAAAAUCAGAGUGCUCAAAGCAGGUAUUUGCCGUGAAUGUAUUAGCAUGGAAUAAUAGAAUAGGACUUGGUUCUAUUUUGUUGGUUUGUUGGGACUGAGUAAUGAUUAAGAGGGACAGUUGGGGGCAUUUGUAUUUCGGUGCUAGAGGUGAAAUUCUUAGAUUACCGAAAGACAAACUGCUGCGAAAGCGUCUGCCAAGGAUGUUUUCAUUGA
rnacentral:rRNA from 1 species